rnacentral:lncRNA from 1 species
AACGUAGCUUUCGACGACCUCACCGCCACCGUGCCGCCGUCUCCCUAGCACCGCCGCUCCAUCGUCCGACACGUGCAACCUCCCCGGAGACGAAACUUGGUAAAGAACUAAGUUUUUGGUCAUUGGGCCCUUGAUGUGAUUGACGUAUAUGGUUAACGGCCUUCGUGCCGGGAUUGGGGAUGUGUGGGCCAUCGUGCCCCGACUAUGGACGCCGGCCAUCGAGCCGGCUAGCUAUUUUCUUGCAGGUUUUGAAACAUCCCCGUACAGGGGAGGUUAUGUUGAAUUUUUUUACUUAUGGUGUUUUGUUUGUUCUAUUGCUUAGCAGGACCUGUCCGAGCGGAGUCGGAGCACCUAGGCGUUGCGGCUCUACCUGCACCGCACCGACUCGCCACUGCGUCAACUCACCAUUGCGCCGCUAUCCUUUCAACUCCGACACCUUAGGUAUAAAUAACCCCUCGACCUUUACCGUUGUAUUAUGUAGACCGGUUUAGCCCAGUUAGGCGUCUCUCGUCCGAAAGAGAUAUGGUUGGUGGUAUGUUGAUCAGUGCAUAUCCUACUUGACCGUAUCUGUUUCGGAUUGUCCACAUACUUUGGACAGCCCACGGAUGCGUAGAUGAGUUAGCUUCCAUGCUCAGCUCCGGUCCGAGUCGGAGUUUUGGCAGCACCUCCGCGUUGUUCUCCGGAUACACACUCUCCUUUCUAGGACGUGUAUCGGGAGAACAGCGGGGAGGUGCUGCCGAAACUCUGACUCGGACGGGAGUAGAGCAUGUAAGCUAACCUCAUCUACGCAUCCUCGGGUGGGAUUAGGACCUAUCCUUCACCUAUUACAUUGUAGUGUCGCCUUGUAGAUGCAUUUCGUACUUGUAUUACUGUCUCACGCAUGUGUAUGUCAGAGGAUGGAAAACCGUGAGUGGAUGUACACGGGCUUCGCAUGUAGGACCACAGAGUGGGUUCAAAAGUCCAUGGCGUUCUUGGAGCAUGCAUUUGGCGAGGCCGCUAAAGGGUCGAGAAGGAUGCCUUGUCCGUGCAGCAAGUGCAAGAACAUGUCUAGAUUCGAGAAGAGCGAGAUGUGGAAACAUAUCUUCAAGUACGGGUUUGUUGAGAACUAUACCCGCUGGAUCUACCAUGGUGAAGCCAGUCGAAUUAGAGAGGAGGUGGUGAGAGAACGUCUAGAGGAGUAUGAUUGUGAUGGCGGGGUGCCAGACAUGAUGGAAGACGCGCAUGACGCAUAUUUUGGGGAAGGAAUGGAGGACGAGCCAGAGGAAUCCGCAAAAGCGUUCUAUGAGAUGCUCAAAUCGGCACAAAAGCCCCUGCAUGAUCACACAAGGGUUUCACAGCUGGAUGCCUUGGGACGCUUGAUGGGGAUGAAGUCGCAGUUUAGCAUGAGUCGAGAGCACUUUGAUUUCAUGUUGACAAUUAUUGGCACCCUUCUUCCGGAGGGUCACAUUCUGCCUAAAAACACGUAUGAGUCAAAGAAGCUUCUUCGUGCACUUAAGAUGCCAUAUGAGCAGAUUCAUGCAUGUAAGGAAAGGUGCGUCCUGUUCAGGGGACAUCUUAAGGAAGCAACACACUGUCCGAAAUGCAAUUCCUCUAGGUAUGUUGAGGUAAACAGUAGUGGUGGCAGCUUACAACAGAGCCGUAUCCCCCAUAAGGUCCUACGGUACCUUCCUUUCAUACCGAGGAUCCAACGGCUGUUCAUGAUGGAGGAGUCAGCGAAACAGAUGACAUGGCACAAGAAUGGCAAAAGAUACAAUCCAGACAAAAUGGUCCACCCGUCGGAUGGUGAGGCAUGGAGGCACUUCGAUGGCAAACAUCCCGGUAAAGCCAUGGAGGCACGGAAUGUCCGUGUAGCGCUGGCGACAGAUGGGUUCAACCCAUAUGGAAUGAUGGCGGUCCCGUACACUUGUUGGCCCGUGUUCGUGAUCCCCCUCAAUCUCCCCCCCGGCGUCAUGUUUCAACCGAAGAACAUAUUCUUGUCGCUGAUAAUACCUGGACACCCGGGGAACAAUAUGGGUGUGUUCAUGCAGCCUUUGUGGGAUGAAUUGGUCCAUGCUUGGGAACACGGUGUACUGACAUUCGACCGAGCUACAAAGAGGAACUUCAUAAUGCAUGUGUGGUACCAGUACUCCAUGCAUGACUUCCUGGCGUAUGGCAUAUUCUGCGCUUGGUGUGUUCACGGGAAGUUCCCAUGCCCAAUAUGCAAGGCGGCUGUGAGGUUCACUUGGUUGAAGAGUGGUGGGAAGUAUUCUUCGUUCGACCAACAUCGUCAGUUCCUUCCUCCUAACCAUCCAUUCAGACGAGACAUCAAGCAUUUCAGGAAGGGUGUUCGAGUUCACGACACAGUUCCACACAUGAUGAGCCCUGCCGAGGUCCGUGCUGAGAUAGAGGGUCUGAAAGUUGAUGAAGUCAAUGGCGGUUUUAUUGGAUAUGCAGAUGAACACAUGUGGACUCAUACGUCGGGCUUGACUAAGCUGCCCUAUUUCGAUGACCUUCUUCUUCCACACAACAUCGAUGUAAUGCACACUGAAAAGAAUGUCACUGAGGCACUUUGGGCAACACUCAUGGACAUUCAGGAAAAGUCAAAGGACAACGUAAAGGCCCGAUUGGACCUGGAAACGUUGUGCGAUAGACCAAAUCUACUGAUGAAGCCUCCUGCGGCCGGCAAGAGAUGGAAAAGGACUCCAGCUGAUUACAUCCUGAAACGGGAACAUAGGAAGGAAGUUCUACAGUGGAUGAAAACAUUAUUGUUCCCUGAUGGGUAUGCGGCGAAUCUGAGAAGGGGAGUGAACUUGUCUACCCUGCGAGUCAACGGCAUGAAGAGUCAUGACUUCCACAUAUGGAUUGAGCGGCUCCUACCCGCGAUGACUCGAGGAUACCUACCUGAGCCUGUGUGGCGCGUGUUGGCAGAGUUGAGCUACUUCUUCCGCCAGCUCUGUGCCAAAGAGUUGUCUCGGGACGUCGUUCGUGACCUAGAGAGUGUAGCACCUGUGUUGCUAUGCAAGCUGGAGAUGAUCUUUUCACCUGGGUUCUUCCUGCCGAUGCAGCAUCUGAUUCUGCACCUACCGUACGAGGCAAAGAUGGGGGGCCCGUGCAGGCCCGUUGGUGUUAUACAAUCGAGAGAUGUCUAAAGGUUAUGAGGAAAAAGUGUAGAAACAAAGCCAGAAUUGAGGCUUCCAUCGCAGAGGCAUCCAUUCUUGAGGAGGUGUCGAACUUCACAACCAAUUACUAUACGGAUAAUCUUCCUAGCGUGCACAAUCCGCUCUCCCGUUACAAUGACAACGAGAGUUCGUCGAACCUGAGCCUUUUCAAAGGGCAACUUGGAAGAGCAAGUGCAGGUACCCCCAAGACCUUAUGCUAUCCUGAGUGGCGCAAGAUCAUGCUAUACUUGUUGCUCAACCUUGAUGAAGUGCAUGAGUAUCAACGACAAUUUAUUCAUGAAACCUGGACCAAGGAUUGGGAACCUUCUGCUCAAGAAGAAGACCACCUUCUCAAAAAUAAUUCGCCCGAUUUCAUUUCCUGGUUUAGUACGAAGGUAUCGUCUAACUUACCAUGUUUGAUCUUUUUACAUUCCACUUUGCUUGUAUGAGCAAUUACUGUAACGAUCUAUUCCUGUCAUCACCUCGCAGGCCAUCAAGGAUCCUGAUAUUGAUGAUGAGUUGAAACAGGUUGCUCAUGGCAGCGCCUAUAGGGUCAACUCAUUCACAGUUUACGAUGUCAAUGGGUAUCGCUUUCACACGAGAAGUUAUGAUGAGAGUCGGCCCAAUCGAAGCACCACGAAUACCGGAGUUCGUACGCCCGGCACCGAUGAUCGCGACUAUUAUGGCAUAGUUGAAGAAAUAUUUGAGCUCACAUUUGAGGGUGCAAAACCUCUCAAUGUAGUUAUAUUCAGAUGCCAUUGGUUCGAUCCAGAUGCCGUCAGAAGAGCACCUGAGAUUGGGCAAGUCGAAAUUCGACAUGAUCGCGUGUAUCAUGGAGAUGAUGUCUAUAUUGUGGCUCAACAGGCCACACAAGUUUAUUAUCUCCCAUGGGCAUGCCAACAGAAUAAUAAUCUCAAGGGUUGGUACCUUGUGCACUUGGUAUCGCCACGUGGUAAAGCGCCUGUCCCGAACGAUGACGAUUACAACUUUGAUCCUAACACAUAUGUCGGAGAAUUCUUUCAACCUGAGGGGCUAGAAGGGAGGUUGGAGAUAGAUAUUCGUUCACUAAUGGAUAUGGAAGUAGACAACGAAGUUGAUGAGGACGAGGGCUAUGAGGUGAAUGAUGCUAGGGACUUACGAUUGCUUGAGCGCUUGAAGUCGCCGAGUGACCAUGACGAGGCUGUUAGUAGCGAAGGCGAGGGAGAAUCAUUCGACAACAUUGAUAGCGAUGAGGACUAAAUUGCAUGUAAUAUUUAAUUGUUAUUCAUAAUUAUGUUUAUUUCAUUUUGCAUGUCUUUAUAAGUACUUCUUGUGUAUUUGUACUAAUUGGCUUAGUCUUUGUAAUUGCAGGCACUCGGCACAAUGCCGGGAGGAGGUAGGAGAGCGGGCAGCAGACCCCAGCGACAAGUCGCGUCCAUCUACCAGUCGAGGGACGCCGACGACGGUGCGGAGCCGUCGGUGAGGAGGACGAGGAGCCGCCGCGCACGUACGAGGGAGGAGCCGCCCCCGCGGACACCCCCGGGUGACGAGGACGACGACCACCAGCGGGGGGGCGAGGACGACGAC